UCGGACAGGAAAGCUGGAACUGAAGACCACAGGGAUUGUUUGUUGCAGAUGGUAUCCACAGGGGCUGAACCCCCAGCACAAGAGAUUCAAGAAUCAUCACAGAAUCACAGCGUAAU